rnacentral:tRNA from 1 species
CAAAACAUAGCUUAAAUAAAGCACUUCGCUUACACCGAAGCAAUGUCUGUUAAACCCGAACUGUUCUGAG